GCUGAAUCGUCUCGCUGCUGGGCACUUCUAGGCGUGCUCCCAGCAAUGCCAGCAGGUCUGCACCCUCACCCUGGGUGCCCAGGUCCAUUCGUGCGGAGGCCUGGAGUGAGGCUAGCUCAUCAGCGCCUUCAUGGAAAGGAGCCAUUCCAGCUGGCUGUAGCAGAGCUCCAAAGGCAACCUUUCACCCCGGGAGAGGUGAUUAAUGGUUUUAAGAGAGGAGGUGGGAGUGUGGCAGCAGAAUGGCAGUUUCCAAAGGAUUGCUGGGAUUCAAUCCGGAGUGAAUAUACCCAAGAUCAUAGGAAACAAAAAACAGCAAGGACUCCAGUUUCCAGAGUCAAGACUGAAGCCACUGGUAAUAACCUUCGCCUUAAGGUAGCAGGUCUCCAUGGCUGCAGGUCAGACCACUGAAACACACCAGAAUGAUCCCAACACAUUCUGUCUUUCUGACCUGGGCACCUUCUCGUCAAUCCUCAAAUCUAGGAUUAAAUUUUUUAAAUAAUCACAAUCUGGAGACCGUUGCUCACGUCUGCCUCAUCGAAGCUGGUCUCUGGCAUGGGGGCAGGCCUUUUCAACUCAAACCAUGACUUGAAGAAUUCAAAUCACAGUGUUGAAUUUCAAGUUCAAACUGUGGUUUUUGAGAGAUGAUUACUUCUUCCCUUAAGACCCUUAUCCCCACCCUCAGAAACCCCAGGAGAGGAAGGAGAAAAGAACUGUGAUGAAACAAGGAAUGCCUCCAGGGAAGGAAACUUACUCCAGAAGACCCCCAAAGCAGAGAUGCUUCCUUGCUCUUUUCCUUUUAAGCUGGAAUCUCUCAAAGCCACAGUUUGAACUUGAAACCACAAUUUUCCUGACACUGUAUCAAAGGCUGGUCUUAAAGGAGCCAGCAAUAUGCCUGGGAUCAACCCUGCUCCAGUGUUGGGACAGAGCAGCCUUUAUUCCCCCUGGAUCAUUGGAAAUGUGGGCCCAGACACUCUGACCCACUGAGCUGGAAGAAGACAGGCUCUGUUCGCUGGACAGGGGGGUGAACCCCAAAUGUGCCCUGCUCCUGUAUUUUCAAACCUAAGGCAUCAAAGGUUUACUCAAUUAAACCAAAGGAAAUAUGAUCAGAAUCCAAAGGGCAUGUGGCAACAGGAAACUGGGAGGUGCACGAGGAGCAGUGCCUGGGGGGUUAGCUGGGGGGGGUUGUUGGCUGAAUGCUGCACACACAUCUGGCUGUAAAAUGACGUCAGGAAAGGCAGCCCAAGCCACCCCCAGGCAAGGCACGUUACUAACAGAGGCAACUGGGAAUCAAACAGUGACUACGGAGUCAAGGGCAACCAAAGACCACGCCUCUGAAUUUCACAAACCUGACACCCAUCAUCCUUGGGAUACCGCCAAGAGCCAUCGCAUGGCAAAGGAGGUACAGAUGUUACUCCUUGAGAGCAACGUUCCAGCACCAAGGACAAGGGGCUGCUACAGCAGCCGUGAAGGAGGGAAUAUCGAGCUUGCAGGAAACUGGGCACAGUCUUGGGGAUGGUGGAGAGCCAGGCGAGGGAAGAAAAGCAGGAACGAAUGGAUCUUUCGUCUUAGACUCUACUUUAUUUGGUAAAACUCAGAAACUAACCACCAAUUCACGUCCCCCCACCUCCUUCCCUCUGAAGAAGGCAGCUCCCCA